GGGGGGCAACCCUGAUCCAGCCAUGCCGCGUGAGGGAAGAAGGCCUUCGGGUUUUA
rnacentral:rRNA from 1 species